rnacentral:lncRNA from 1 species
CUGACUGCAGGGGCUCAGAGACAUCUAGAUGCCUCACUGCACAGGAAAAGCCUGGCUAGAGUUCUUACCACCCCUCCGGCGUCCAGUAGACUGACCAACGGACCAGGCCAGCGGACUGCUAUACAAUUCCGCAAACCACAAAAAAAAAUGAAUGAAGAUUUUAGUCAGAGCUCUGACCACAACUCCAGUCCAAACAAGAAAACCAUCCAGAGUCUGAAAAAUUCGGGAAAGGAGCAAACCUUCAGGGACCGGAGGCAGAAGGAAAAAUUGAGAGAUAACUUCCUGUGGCAGAACGAAUGGUGGGGGGAAAACAGGCUCUGCACAUUUCUCCCCCCUGUGCUUGGGCCCUGUCUCUGUGGAUGCAGCUUAAGAACGAAAUUAGUGCUUCACCCUCGGCCCCCAACACUUCCCAGGCAGACUGCCCCAAAGCUUCCAUAUUUACUAUCCAAGAGAGAGUCAACACCAUCAAUGGCCUGGUCUCAAACACGUCCUACUUCUCCUUCAUCUUUACACCCAACCUCCCCGACUGGUCUCCAGCCUACCAGUCACCCUCUGCAACCCCGGCAACUGGUCCCUUUAGGUAUUUGGCCCCAAGGUUUUAUCAUGGCUCCUCCCAAGAACAGGCCUCCCAGAAGCCAUUCCCACUUUCCUUAGGGAGGUACCCCAUUCCCUCAAGGAGAAUGAUAACUCCCUAAUCCAUUUAUAUUAAUAAUAAAAUGUAUAUUAAAAAUAAAUAUAUAUUUA